AAAAAAAAACUGCAGAAACUUUCGGCCACCUCCAAUCAUGACCAAAAUUUGACAGAAUCUUCCUCUUAACAUUUCGAACAACUUUCUAGAAGAAGUCGAAGCUCAAUUCUAAGCAUAAACAGGUCAAUCGACUCAAAAUAUAAAAAUCCCCAAUUUUAAACCCUAAAAACUUCAAAUCUUCGAUUCUCUUCACACACACCGAAUUGAGCUAAGGAAUUCUAGGGGAAUGUAGUACUAAUCAAACUCAACUUAUUCAUAUAUAGAACUCACCAAAUGGUGACCUAAGGAAGGAGAAAUUCGAUCGACACCGAAUCCAAACCGGCGGAGUUUUGGAGCUCGAUUUAUCCCUUACGGCGGCGCCACUCGAUGCACCACCUAUCCAGCAAUGAAGUAGAGACGACGGCGAAGCUUUUGAGACAAGUGUGGCGGUCUCCGGUGGCUUGACGGCGGAGCUAGGCCGAGAAGAAAAUCUGGCAGAUAAUAGACUUCUUACCAUCCAUCUGCGCCUAUAUAAAGAACUUUAGCCGACAAAAUUCUUUAUUUUCGUCGGCUAAACUCUUUUGAAAAUUUUGGUUGACCGCCAAAAAAUUUUGGUUGAAAAUUUUGAAAAUUUUUCAACUUUAGCCAACGACUUUUCAUAUAUUUUCGUCGGCUAAAGUCUUUUGAAAAUUUUCCUCCAACUUUGGUUUACCACCCAAAAAUUUUUUUUGACCUUAGCCGACGACUUUUUUAAUAUCUCGUCGGUUAAAGUCUAUAAAUUCACGAAAACGCUCAUAUCUCCCCCUAUAUUACGUAGUUUGGUCAAACCUUCCACACGAAAAACUCUCACUUAGAUGAGACGCAACCGCCUAUAUAAAAAUUUUGAGACAUUUACCGUCCGACGAUAGGGCUCCCCAUAGGGAAUAAUAACGGUAAAUAGGGUUGACCGCUACUAUCGGCACCGAGACUUUACCCAAUUUACAUGAUUUUUGAACCAUAGCCGUAUUUCACCAUUCUGAACACAUCUUAUUUCACGAGAUUUUUGAUAAUUUUGCUUCCUAUGUAGAGUUGGUUCACAAAGUUGUAUAACCUACUAAAUAAGUUAUACAACAUUAGUAGACACGUUGUGAUUCCGAUGACUAAAAUUCACAAACCAAAAUUCGACCGUCAGAUAUGAUCAUUAUGACGAAAGAUGUCUAUGGUAAAAAAUUCAACUGGAUCCGUCAACGUUAAGGGCUCAAUCGAAACGGUCAACCAUAAUCCAUCGUCACUUAUCACACGAAAACGCUCAUAUCUCCCUCUAUAUUACGUAGUUUGGUCAAACCUUCCACAAAAAAAACUCUCACGUAGAUGAGACGCAACUGCCCAUAUAAAUUUUUUGAGACAUUUACUUUCUGAAGAUAUGGCUCCCCAUAGUGAAUAAUAACGGUAAAUAGUAGACACGUCGUAAUUCCGAUGACUAAAAUUCACAAACCAAAAUUCGACUGUCAGAUAUGAUCAUUAUGACGAAAGAUGUCUAUGGUAAAAAUUUCAACUGGAUUCGACAACGUUAAGGGCUCGAUCGAAACGGUCAACUCUAAUCAAAAAUAAGAAAACUGCAUUUUGAAGCCCUAAACGGACUCGGAUGGCCAAAAAAGCCUAUACAUCAUGGCAUCAGCAAUGAGUUUGACUCGUAGCGCCGUUAUGCUUCCGGAAAGGUAUCACAAUAGUCAAUCAGACACCAAAUGCUAAAUCUGCAGCAUAGUGAAUAAUAAGAGUAAAUUGCAUUGACUGCAACUAUCGGCACCGAGACUUUACCGGAAUACCGUGAUUUUUCAAACGUAGACGUAUUUCACCAUUAUGGUCAUAUCUUAUUUCACGACUUUUUUGUGUUUGAAGGUUCUACGUAUAGUUUUUUUUUCCAGAUGAGUUGUUGUCCAAAUCUACAAAUAUAAGGCACUUUAGCCGACGAAAUUAUAUUUUUCGUCAGCUAAAAUUUUUAAAAUUUCGUCGGCUAAAGUUUAAAAAUUUCGUCG
rnacentral:lncRNA from 1 species